UUAUCUGAAUCUCAUGCGCGACGUUACGCGCA
rnacentral:sRNA from 1 species